AUGAUAGAGGCGCGGAUCUCAUAAGUAUUUUCUGUCAGGGGCUCAAACCCCGCUUACCGGAGAUGAAAGGGAGCUCCGCCGAAGUCCAAGGUCAUUUGAGUGACGGCGGGCUGGGCGGCCGGAUAAUAUCCUGUCGACUGUCGCCGAAAUUGCGGAGUGCUAUA
rnacentral:ncRNA from 1 species